rnacentral:rRNA from 1 species
UAAUACGGAGGGUGCGAGCGUUGUCCGGAAUCACUGGGCGUAAAGGGCGCGUAGGCGGCUUGGCAAGUCGAUGGUGAAAGCUCGUGGCUCAACUACGAGUCGGCCAUUGAUACUGCUAGGCUUGAGUCGACUAGAGGCAGAUGGAAUUCCGGGUGUAGCGGUGGAAUGCGUAGAGAUCCGGAAGAACACCGGUGGCGAAGGCGGUCUGCUGGGGUCGAACUGACGCUGAGGCGCGACAGCGUGGGGAGCAAACAGGAUUAGAUACCCUGGUAGUCCACGCCGUAAACGAUGGGCACUAGGUGCUUGGGGGAGCGACCCCUUGAGUGCCGGCGCUAACGCAUUAAGUGCCCCGCCUGGGGAGUACGGCCGCAAGGCU